rnacentral:rRNA from 1 species
CCCUUAGAUGUUCUGGGCCGCACGCGCGCUACACUGACACGUUCAUCAAGUCUAUAACCUUGACCGAGAGGUCUGGGUAAUCUUUUAAAAACGUGUCGUGCUGGGGAUAGAUUAUUGCAAUUAUUAAUCUUCAACGAGGAAUUCCUAGUAAACGCAAGUCAUCAACUUGCAUUGAUUACGUCCCUGCCCUUUGUACACACCGCCUGUCGCUACUACCGAUUGAAUGAUUUAGUGAGUACCAGGGACCGAGCGCUUUGGUUGGGUUUCCUUCCCUAGCGCUUGGGAACUGUCGCAAACUUGACCAUUUAGAGGAAGUAAAAGUCGUAACA